rnacentral:misc_RNA from 1 species
GCCUGUCCGAGCGUCAUACAGCCAAUCCCUUCGGGGGUAUUGGGCCAUGCCGGCAACGGCAGGUCCUAAUUCCAGUGGCGGCAUCGCGCGCAUUCGAGCGUAGUAAUUGUUCUCGCUUAGGGAGCGCGCGACGGUUGACCAGCAAGCCUUCUACACGUUAGUUGGACCUCGGAUCAGGUAGGAAUACCCGCUGAACUUAA